GAGAGUUAGGGAAGCUUAAUAUCUCACAGAUCUGACUGUUGAAACAGUCAAAUGGCAACAGCAGCAUACCUAAAGCGCCCAGCCUGGGUGUCUAUGGCAAGUGCCUGGCUGUGGGGGGGAGUGUGUUGCUACAAAGACUCUGCUGGUUCCUGCAUGAGGCAGGCACUGUUGAAGGGGACCAGAAAUCUGUUCACUCAGAUCAGAUUUCCACACAGAGAGUAUUUCAGCCACGUAAGAUAUUGUGCGGUGAUAUCCCUGAAUGUCGCUUACAUCAGGCUUUGUGUGAAGUCCAUAGAAAAAGAAAGAUGCUCAAAAACUAAAUCAGAAUCUCCUCUAAGUUCAUCUUCUCCUUUCUGAAAGCAUGCUGUUCACUGGUAGCUGUACCUACUUGUACUUUCCAUCUUGGUGAGGUUGUGUCAGACACACGGGAUCCUGCUGCAGUUGCUGAUAAGGUGAACAGGGGCAAGAGGAGGGGCAGGCCUUUCUGGGAAUGGCCCUCCUGUGCUCGCCCCAUGGCACCAGCUGUGGGUGCCCAGUGGGUGGUCCUGCCCUGCUGGCUGGCAGCAGUGGCCAUCUCCACUGUUGUUCUGGGCUGUGCAUCACUGUCAUUCCUACAUCAUAGUGCACAGAGCUUAUGUUUCAAAUUACCCUAAAUUGUAGGGCAGACAUUGAUGGGAGUUCUGGACAAGGUGACAAAGGUCAUUCAGCUGGUGCUGAGCAGAGCUGGGAUGCAGAUCAAUGUGCUUGUGGUGUGGCCACUGUGCAUUCCCCAGUUUUAACCUCUAGGAUUUGCAGUAGCUCCAGGAUGUUACCUUCUGCACAGGUGCAAAUUGACCAAAAUAAAAUCCUUCUGAGAAUGGGAUGUUUCCUACGUGUGAGAGAAAUAAGUAAGUAAUGGUAGAGAGGAAAGGUGUAAAAGAAGAUAGGAGAAUUUACAUAAUCUUGGUUCAGCUGCAAGUUCUGUUUGUUUAUGGGUUUACUGAGCAAGUUUCAAGUUGAGGCAUUUCAGACCUUGUUACUACCCUGGCAACAAUGCAAGUCUUACCUAUCUUUUCUUUACAGGGAUUCUUUUAUAAUCUUGCACAGAGUAGUAUAAGGAAGCUUUUGCUUGCUCUAAGUUGCAGUGUGGUUAACAGUAAACUGCAGAGCUGAAUUGGCAGAUCUUACUGAUGCCGCAGUCUCAGUGCUUCUGACCGCGAAAACGUGAAGGCUGACAUAUUGCUGCUACUAUGGUCAACAUUAGCAGAAUGAAUGGACUUCAUGUGCCUGAUCUUGUGCUUUUACACUACACUGACAGUUGGAAUUAACAGCAGGGAAGAAAAUGUUAAAGGUUCAUAGGCAAGGGAAGCGUGACUGGCUGCCAGUAACUGGCAGUAACCGUGAUUUAAAAG
ensembl:lncRNA